rnacentral:rRNA from 1 species
GUGACGAGUGGCGGACGGGUGAGUAAUGCCUGGGAAACUGCCCGAUGGAGGGGGAUAACUACUGGAAACGGUAGCUAAUACCGCAUAACGUCUUCGGACCAAAGUGGGGGACCUUCGGGCCUCACACCAUCGGAUGUGCCCAGGUGGGAUUAGCUAGUAGGUGGGGUAACGGCUCACCUANGCGACGAUCCCUANCUGGUCUGAGAGGAUGACCAGCCNCACUGGAACUGAGACNCGGUCCAGACUCCUACGGGAGGCAGNAGUGGGGAAUAUUGCACAAUGGGCGCAAGCCUGAUGCAGCCAUGCCGCGUGUAUGAAGAAGGCCUUCGGGUUGUAAAGUACUUUCAGUGGGGAGGAAGGCGAUAGCGUUAACAGCGCUGUCGAUUGACGUUACCCGCAGAAGAAGCACCGGCUAACUCCGUGCCAGCAGCCGCGGUAAUACGGAGGGUGCAAGCGUUAAUCGGAAUUACUGGGCGUAAAGCGCACGCAGGCGGUCUGUCAAGUCGGAUGUGAAAUCCCCGGGCUCAACCUGGGAACUGCAUUCGAAACUGGCAGGCUAGAGUCUUGUAGAGGGGGGUAGAAUUCCAGGUGUAGCGGUGAAAUGCGUAGAGAUCUGGAGGAAUACCGGUGGCGAAGGCGGCCCCCUGGACAAAGACUGACGCUCAGGUGCGAAAGCGUGGGGAGCAAACAGGAUU